UCCCCGUUUCACAGGGCAGUCCCUCUAGAGUGCUCGGCAUGACCCGGGGGCAACUAACAACAGGGGUUGCGCUCGUUAUAGGACUUAACCUGACACCUCACGGCACGAGCUGACGACAACCAUGCAGCACCUUGUAAUCUGCCCGAAGGAGGACCUGUUUCCAAGCCUGUCAGACUACAUUUAAGCCCUGGUAAGGUUCCUCGCGUAUCAUCGAAUUAAACCACAUGCUCCACCGCUUGUGCGGGCCCCCGUCAAUUCCUUUGAGUUUCAAACUUGCGUUCGUACUCCCCAGGUGGGAUACUUAUCACUUUCGCUUAGCCACUCAAGAUUGCUCUCGAACAGCUAGUAUCCAUCGUUUACGGCGUGGACUAC
rnacentral:misc_RNA from 1 species